rnacentral:rRNA from 1 species
AACGAACGCUGGCGGCAUGCCUAACACAUGCAAGUCGAACGAGACCUUCGGGUCUAGUGGCGCACGGGUGCGUAACGCGUGGGAACCUGCCCUUAGGUUCGGAAUAACUCCCCGAAAGGGGUGCUAAUACCGGAUAAUUUCUUCGGACCAAAGAUUUAUCGCCUUUGGAUGGGCCCGCGUUGGAUUGGCUAGUUGGUAGGGUAAAAGCCUACCAAGGCGACGAUCCAUAGCUGGUCUGAGAGGAUGAUCAGCCACACUGGGACUGAGACACGGCCCAGACUCCUACGGGAGGCAGCAGUGGGGAAUAUUGGACAAUGGGCGAAAGCCUGAUCCAGCAAUGCCGCGUGAGUGAUGAAGGCCUUAGGGUUGUAAAGCUCUUUUACCCGGGAUGAUAAUGACAGUACCGGGAGAAUAAGCUCCGGCUAACUCCGUG